CCUUUCAUUUCCUUGGCCUUUGGUUUCGGCGGAGUGCCUGCCGCCUUUGCUCUCUGCUCCUUCGGCGCCGCUUUCUUCUGAUCGCUUGGAGGUGAUGGUGAUGGCUUCUUCUGAUCAAUAGGUGAUGGUGAUGGCUUCUUCUGAUCAAUAGGUGAUGGUGAUGGCUUUUUCUGAUCAGCGGUUAACGGUGAUGGCUUUUUCUUAGAGGUUUUCCGGUCAUUGACGUUGUUGCUUAGGGUGAUGGAGCCUUGCAGCUUCAGAGCCGAUGGGUUUGUGUUGCUGUUAUCCUUCUUUGCCUGUGCUUUCUUCGGGUUCUCGGGGUGGACCAGGGACCGCGGCUCCCAUGGCCUUGCAG
rnacentral:lncRNA from 1 species